rnacentral:rRNA from 1 species
GAUGAACGCUGGCGGCGUGCUUAACACAUGCAAGUCGAACGAGAAGUGGAGACGGAAACCUUCGGGCGGAAGACUUUAUUUCGAGUGGCGGACGGGUGAGUAACGCGUGGGUAACCUGCCUCAUACAGGGGGAUAACAGUUGGAAACGACUGUUAAUACCGCAUAAGACCACAGCACCGCAUGGUGCGGGGGUAAAAACUCCGGUGGUAUGAGAUGGACCCGCGUUCGAUUAGCCAGUUGGCGGGGUAACGGCCCACCAAAGCGACGAUCGAUAGCCGAUCUGAGAGGAUGACCGGCCACAUUGGGACUGAGACACGGCCCAAACUCCUACGGGAGGCAGCAGUGGGGAAUAUUGCACAGUGGGGGAAACCCUGAUGCAGCGACGCCGCGUGAGUGAAGAAGUAUUUCGGUAUGUAAAGCUCUAUCAGCAGGGAAGAAAAUGACGGUACCUGAGUAAGAAGCCCCGGCUAACUACGUG